UGCUUCUCUGAUGUUAGCGGCGGACGGGUGAGUAACACGUGGAUAACCUACCUAUAAGACUGGGAUAACUUCGGGAAACCGGAGCUAAUACCGGAURAUAUUUUGAACCGCAUGGUUCAAAAGUGAAAGACGGUCUUGCUGUCACUUAUAGAUGGAUCCGCGCUGCAUUAGCUAGUUGGUAAGGUAACGGCUUACCAAGGCAACGAUGCAUAGCCGACCUGAGAGGGUGAUCGGCCACACUGGAACUGAGACACGGUCCAGACUCCUACGGGAGGCAGCAGUAGGGAAUCUUCCGCAAUGGGCGAAAGCCUGACGGAGCAACGCCGCGUGAGUGAUGAAGGUCUUCGGAUCGUAAAACUCUGUUAUUAGGGAAGAACAUAUGUGUAAGUAACUGUGCACAUCUUGACGGUACCUAAUCAGAAAGCCACGGCUAACUAC
rnacentral:rRNA from 1 species